rnacentral:rRNA from 1 species
AGUGAACGCUGGCGGUAGGCCUAACACAUGCAAGUCGAACGGCAGCACAGUAAGAGCUUGCUCUUACGGGUGGCGAGUGGCGGACGGGUGAGGAAUACAUCGGAAUCUACUUUUUCGUGGGGGAUAACGUAGGGAAACUUACGCUAAUACCGCAUACGACCUACGGGUGAAAGCAGGGGAUCUUCGGACCUUGCGCGAUUGAAUGAGCCGAUGUCGGAUUAGCUAGUUGGCGGGGUAAAGGCCCACCAAGGCGACGAUCCGUAGCUGGUCUGAGAGGAUGAUCAGCCAAACUGGACUGAGACACGGUCCAGACUCCUACGGGAGGCAGCAGUGGGGAAUAUUGGACAAUGGGCGCAAGCCUGAUCCAGCCAUACCGCGUGGGUGAAGAAGGCCUUCGGGUUGUAAAGCCCUUUUGUUGGGAAAGAAAAGCAGCAGGUUAAUACCCCGCUGUUCUGACGGUACCCAAAGAAUAAGCACCGGCUAACUUCGUG